CAAUAGCGUAUAUUUAAGUUGCUGCAGUUAAAAAGCUCGUAGUUGGAUUUCGGGUGGGAAUGGCCGGUCCGCCGUUUCGGUGUGCACUUGCUACGCCCACCUUGCUGCCGGCGACGUGCUCUUGAGUUCACGCUCGGGACACGGAGUCGGCGAGGUUACUUUGAGUAAAUUAGAGUGUUCAAAGCAGGCCUACGCUCUGAAUACAUUAGCAUGGAAUAACACGAUAGGACUCUGGCCUAUCUUGUUGGUCUGUAGGACCGGAGUAAUGAUUAAGAGGGACAGUCGGGGGCAUUCGUAUUUCAUUGUCAGAGGUGAAAUUCUUGGAUUUAUGAAAGACGAACUACUGCGAAAGCAUUUGCCAAGGAUGUUUUCAUUAA
rnacentral:rRNA from 1 species